AGAUAAAAUCUUUGUAUUUGAAGUGUUGAAUCAUAAUAUCUAAAAGCUUAAACAUUUGGAGAGAAAAUAAAUGUAAUUAUUUUUGUGUUUGCAGUCAUCACCAAAGCAAGGCAGGUAGAAAUGGCGUUUACCAAGACUAUCGCGUCUUCCCAUUGAAGGGAAGCUGUCUUCAUGGGGCCUUAACAAUCCCUGUGACAAUGUCAAAAGCAUGACGAACCUGGUCAAAUCAAGAAGCUUUAUGUCGAGAUAGGUUUCGGUUUGUGAACCGAAGUCACUUCUAUCCUAGAAUAGCAAAUAUCAACGGCAUAAAGGAGUCUCUAUAAAUUACAGUUAUACUAACAUGGUCUUACUUUCACAAAAUAUAAUUGAAAGAAACCAGAGCAAUGAAAAUUUCAAUUUCUCCCAUAAUCCAGUGAAUAAAUUCACAAAUUCAUAUGAUUCGUAACUUAAUUAUAGCAGUUUUAUUUAUUCGUACCAGUAAGUUAAAAGUUAACCUGCAAUCUCUAAUAUCGAUUAAGAAGUCAAGGCCAUUCAGGAGGAUCACCAAGCUUCGCCUUCACAGGUAAGAGCCUUGGAUUGCAAAAUGGAUCUCUGUGUCGAGAAAAACAAACUCUCCGGGUAUGUUUCCAUGUGAAAUGAAUCCUUAGCAGCAUGAACUCCAAUAUGUUAUACCUCAAAUCAGUGGGAUCAGACAAGACCAGCUUACGACUGGCUAUUUCCACUAGUAUGUCUCCAUUGUUUGUAAACCCCACAAACUUCUUAUGUUCUCAAAUCAUAUCAACAAUGUACAUCUCCCUCCUAACCAUACCAUACUCCAUCACCCACGCUAAAGACGUCUAUUUCUUCCGGCUAUGAUUCCAUGACUCCUCAGGGUUAUACUCGGGGUUUCAGGAGAAUCAAGUAUUUUUUUAAUUGGUGGUUUCCUCAGAAUAAUGCCAUGAACAGGAUGUGCUAGACUAAAAACAGAGUUUUUUUACAAUUAGAAAAAACAAGUCAUCAGACAAGCCCACUAUUUGAAAAUGGGGGUAGAUUUAGACUCGAAAAGGAAGUCUAGUUCUCGCAUAUUGUCCACGUCGUUUGGUAAAAACAAGUAGAGUUCAAUCAGUGGGAUUUGGAAGUUGAAAAUAUAGGUGAUUAAAAGGUAAAAUUCCACUUGUUUCUAAGAUGUGGAUACACAACGCAGAUAUGUAGUAUGCAAAGCUGAGGAUCUCAUUUCGCUUAGGGGUAAAGAUCAUAUUUUGUAAUUAGAAUUGA
rnacentral:lncRNA from 1 species